rnacentral:tRNA from 1 species
UCCCUGGAGGACUAGUGGUUAGGCCUUGGCACUCUCACCGCCAUGGCCCAGGCUCGAUUCCCAGCCAGGGAA